rnacentral:rRNA from 1 species
AGAAUCAACGCUGGCGGCGUGCCUAACACAUGCAAGUCGAACGAGAAAGUGGAGCAAUCCAUGAGUAAAGUGGCGCACGGGUGAGUAACACGUGACUAACCUACCCUUGAGUGGGGGAUAACCUAGAGAAAUCUGGGCUAAUACCGCAUAAUACCUUCGGGUCAAAGGAGCAAUUCGCUUAAGGAGGGGGUCGCGGCCGAUUAGUUAGUUGGCGGGGUAAUGGCCCACCAAGACUGUGAUCGGUAUCCGGCCUGAGAGGGCGCACGGACACACUGGAACUGAAACACGGUCCAGACUCCUACGGGAGGCAGCAGUGGGGAAUUUGCGCAAUGGGGGAAACCCUGACGCAGCAACGCCGCGUGGAGGAUGAAGCCCCUUGGGGCGUAAACUCCUUUCGAUCGGGAAGAUAAUGACGGUACCGAGAGAAGAAGCCCGGCUAACUCGCGCCAGCAGCCGC